GAUGAACGCUGGCGGCGUGCCUAAUACAUGCAAGUCGAGCGAACGGACGAGAAGCUUGCUUCUCUGAUGUUAGCGGCGGACGGGUGAGUAACACGUGGAUAACCUACCUAUAAGACUGGGAUAACUUCGGGAAACCGGAGCUAAUACCGGAUAAUAUUUUGAACCGCAUGGUUCAAAAGUGAAAGACGGUCUUGCUGUCACUUAUAGAUGGAUCCGCGCUGCAUUAGCUAGUUGGUAAGGCAACGGCUUACCAAGGCAACGAUGCAUAGCCGACCUGAGAGGGUGAUCGGCCACACUGGAACUGAGACACGGUCCAGACUCCUACGGGAGGCAGCAGUAGGGAAUCUUCCGCAAUGGGCGAAAGCCUGACGGAGCAACGCCGCGUGAGUGAUGAAGGUCUUCGGAUCGUAAAACUCUGUUAUUAGGGAAGAACAUAUGUGUAAGUAACUGUGCACAUCUUGACGGUACCUAAUCAGAAAGCCACGGCUAACUACGUGCCAGCAGCCGCGGUAAUACGUAGGUGGCAAGCGUUAUCCGGAAUUAUUGGGCGUAAAGCGCGCGUAGGCGGUUUUUUAAGUCUGAUGUGAAAGCCCACGGCUCAACCGUGGAGGGUCAUUGGAAACUGGAAAACUUGAGUGCAGAAGAGGAAAGUGGAAUUCCAUGUGUAGCGGUGAAAUGCUCAGAGAUAUGGAGGAACACCAGUGGCGAAGGCGACUUUCUGGUCUGUAACUGACGCUGAUGUGCGAAAGCGUGGGGAUCAAACAGGAUUAGAUACCCUGGUAGUCCACGCCGUAAACGAUGAGUGCUAAGUGUUAGGGGGUUUCCGCCCCUUAGUGCUGCAGCUAACGCAUUAAGCACUCCGCCUGGGGAGUACGACCGCAAGGUUGAAACUCAAAGGAAUUGACGGGGACCCGCACAAGCGGUGGAGCAUGUGGUUUAAUUCGAAGCAACGCGAAGAACCUUACCAAAUCUUGACAUCCUUUGACAACUCUAGAGAUAGAGCCUUCCCCUUCGGGGGACAAAGUGACAGGUGGUGCAUGGUUGUCGUCAGCUCGUGUCGUGAGAUGUUGGGUUAAGUCCCGCAACGAGCGCAACCCUUAAGCUUAGUUGCCAUCAUUAAGUUGGGCACUCUAAGUUGACUGCCGGUGACAAACCGGAGGAAGGUGGGGAUGACGUCAAAUCAUCAUGCCCCUUAUGAUUUGGGCUACACACGUGCUACAAUGGACAAUACAAAGGGCAGCGAAACCGCGAGGUCAAGCAAAUCCCAUAAAGUUGUUCUCAGUUCGGAUUGUAGUCUGCAACUCGACUACAUGAAGCUGGAAUCGCUAGUAAUCGUAGAUCAGCAUGCUACGGUGAAUACGUUCCCGGGUCU
rnacentral:rRNA from 1 species